GAACAAACGGCCACAUGCGGCGUCACGUGGAUGGAUUUCACCAAUCGCAGCGGUUCUUCCUGAACCUGCAAAUGGGAUUGCUUCUGGUCUGCACGCUUUAUUUCGUCCGUUGGAUUGGGAUAUUAACUGUGGUAGGGUGUUGAAUGUCUCCUUCUUUUGGAUUCCUGCAUAUGUAGGGGUAGAAGGAAAUGAAACUGUGGAUAUACUGGCAAAAAGAUCGAUAAAGCAUGAAACAUUGAUAUACAAGUACCAUUAAGUAGAGCAGAGAUUAAAAGCAUUAUAAAGGGACACGCAUAAAAUAUAGUAGGAAUACUGCUGACACCGGAUGACACCUAUAUUUCAUACAAAAUACAAGUAGGCAUGAGUAUGGUGAACAGCAGGAACCCAAAGGAAGAGAUGAUAAGUACGCGUCUUAGAAUAGGUCAUGAUGGCUUAAAUCUAACAUUACGGAGAAUAUGAAAACUCUGCACCCACUGCAAUACACAAGAGAUGGUAAAACACAUUCUGUUAGACUGCAAAAGAUAUGAGGAAGAAAGAACUGAGCUAAAGAUGCAAAUUGGAAAGCAAACCAUGAAACUAGAGAACUUGCUGGGAAAAACCUCUGGAAAAGUGCACCGUCCCCUAAUAAAUUAUCUGAAAAAUACUGGGGGUGUACCCCGCCUUGUGCCCAAUGCUACCUGGGAUAGGCUACAGAUUCCCCGUGAUCCUGAAAAGGAGUAAGCGGUAGAAGAUGGAUGGAUGGAUGGAUGGAUGGAUGUUUGCGACGUUCAGCACCAGUAAAGCGUUUCAUGGCAUACAACAGUAUUUUCUUAAGCCCAUCUUCAGUGACGCCUCGGUCAGACAUCGCUGUGGUUGAAAUGUUUGUCAGGAUUUAUUCUCUCAUUAUCCACCAUUAACACGCGGCUUCUUCUGUUCCGUCACAAUGACAGGACUCACUCCAGAAGAUCCAUCAUCAUCCAGGCUUUAGAGCUGGAAAGUGCUGAAAUGUCCAGCAGACGUCUUCACCAUCAUCAUCAGUUAGGAAUGAUGGAAAUGUGCUCUUUUUAAGAUGUUAAUAAGGCCAGACUUCAACAUUUUAUUGCAUUAUUCUCCUCUCCUACCAUCCCUAAACUGACUAUUGCUUGUAACUACGCAAACACACAAAUAUUAAUGUUUCUAUACAAAUUUCAUCAUCCAGACUGCUUAUAAAAACAGAUAUGAAUAUAUCUAUCUUAUAUAUACACUAUAUAUCAGUGCUGUAAUUUCAAGCUACUUCUUUUCCACCUAUAAUAUCAUUUGGCUUAAUUAAAAAUGAAAAAUAGAAGAAUUACUAAAUGCAUAUAAAAUUAUUAAUUAAUUGACAACAGUAUAAGUAUGAAAACCAUUUUAUAUUAUAGGUGCAUUAAUAAAUCACAGUAAAAACAUAUUUGAUUUUUCCCAACAGAAAUGCAGUUUAAACAGAUCCUAGCAAAUCUGAAUGUAGAACCGAUUACAAAGAUGUCUUUGCUCUGUACAUCAUAUAAUGUUCCCUAAAUGCAUAUGCAAACAAAACUUACAGAACAUAUGCCUGUAUUUUUUUUUAUUUAUUUAUAACUGAGCAAUACACUAUGGGUUUGUAAAUUAUUUACUUAGAAUACCUUUAAUUUUAUAACAAGCAAAAAUUGUAUAAAAUACUAUACUGUUAAAAUGGUUUAGGAGAAUACUCUAUCUGGGGCCAAAACACAGAUUUCUGUGAUCCCUCUUCCUCUGACUCAGUAGGAUCCAGAUCCAGAACAGAUAAAAUUGCCGUUUAUCAGGAAACUAGACAGAUACAAUAGCAUGCAUGUAUGGCAUCAACAAAUGAGCUAAAUCUUAUUUUAAUAAUUCCCAUUAUUAUCAACAACAAGGUUGUUCUCAUGAAUGAUGUGUAUAAGUUUUAAUCACUUACAAUGUGCAUUCAUGUGGACUGUUAUUAUGCCCUCUGUAAUUUGUUUUAAUGAAACAAUUAUUUGAUCAUAAAUGCUUGCGGACAAUAGGUAGAUUAGACAGAUAGAUAAAUGGCUGGGUAGAUGGAUAGAAAGAUAAAUAAGUAGAGGAUAAUUAUGCAAUGACAUGGCAGAU